UACAGAGGGUGCGAGCGUUAAUCGGAAUUACUGGGCGUAAAGCGUGCGUAGACGGUUAUUUAAGUCGGGUGUGAAAGCCCCGGGCUCAACCUGGGAACCGCGCUUGAGACUGGAGAACUAGAGUACCGGAGAGGAUAGUGGAAUUCCCGGUGUAGAGGUGAAAUUCGUAGAUAUCGGGAGGAACACCAGUGGCGAAGGCGGCUAUCUGGACGGAUACUGACGCUGAGACGCGAAAGCGUGGGGAGCAAACAGG
rnacentral:rRNA from 1 species